rnacentral:rRNA from 1 species
AGCUCCAAUAGCGUAUAUUAAAGUUGUUGCAGUUAAAAAGCUCGUAGUUGAACCUUGGCCGUCGGUGACCGGUCUGCUCUAGUAGUACGUACUGGUUAUCCGGCGGCUUUCCUGGUGAGGGCCUAUUCUGCUCUUAACUGAGUGGGGUAUGGUUCAUUCACCUCUUUUACUGUGAACAAAUUAGAGUGUUCAAAGCAGGCAUUUGCUUGAAUACAUUAGCAUGGAAUAAUGGAAUAGGACUUUGGUUCUAUUUUGUUGGUUUCUAGGACCGAAGUAAUGAUUAAUAGGGAUAGUUGGGGGCAUUCAUAUUUAAUUGUCAGAGGUGAAAUUCUUGGAUUUAUGAAAGAUGAACUUCUGCGAAAGCAUUUGCCAAGGAUGUUUUCAUUGAUCAAGAACGAAA